rnacentral:rRNA from 1 species
UGGGGGAUAUUGCACAAUGGGCGAAAGCCUGAUGCAGCGACGCCGCGUGGAGGAUGAAGGCCUUCGGGUUGUAAACUUCUUUUGCUCUGAACAAGGCGCACCAUGGGGUGUGUUGAGUGUAGGGGUUGAUUAGCGCCGGCUAACUACGUGCCAGCAGCCGCGGUAAUACGUAGGGCGCGAGCGUUGUCCGGAAUUAUUGGGCGUAAAGGGCUUGUAGGUGGCUGGUUGCGUCUGUCGUGAAAGCUCAUGGCUUAACUGUGGGUUUGCGGUGGGUACGGGCUGGCUUGAGUGCAGUAGGGGAGGCUGGAAUUCCUGGUGUAGCGGUGGAAUGCGCAGAUAUCAGGAGGAAUACCGGUGGCGAAGGCGGGUCUCUGGGCUGUUACUGACACUGAGGAGCGAAAGCAUGGGGAGCGAACAGG